CUUCUGUGGUUUUAUUCACAAAACAGAAAUAUCUAUGAAGCAAAUACUUAGAAAUGGGAUUUAAGUGGGCGUUGCUUCAUGAGCUUCCGUUGGUAAACAUGUUGGUUCUCCUGAUCCACUUUUGGGCUUUUGAGGAACUAAAAAACAGCUGGUAGGAAAUCUGAUUUGCCACAAAGUCAGACUUACUUCUGUCCCGGAGGAACCCGUCGGUGAUCCAGCAGGAGCCAAACUUCUGCUUUUCUUCUGAAUAUUGUGAGAGACGUGCAGAAGUGGAGAGAUGCAGUUUUGAUUCCUUCAAAAUGAAGGACAAUGAGGCGGGUGGAAAAGCACAGACGCCAUCAGGAGGUGGAUGAACUCGCAUCAAAGAGGCGAUGAGGAAAAACUUAAAGGAUGAGGAAGAAUGUUAGGUGUAACAUGUAAAUAGGAGAACUCUGUACUAUUUAAAGUCCAGUUGGUUUGGGGGUCGUGGUCAAAUCUGUACUUGGCCGUGAUGAAUGGCGCUGCACUGAAGCGGCCACAGAUUUCCCAGCAUGCAUCUCUCCACUUGCUGCUCAAAAGUUGGUCGUAACGUUUACAUGUUGUGCAGAAGAAAAAGUCGAGACAGCAGCGGAUUCUGGGGCUCCAACAGUGUUCAGCGCUUUCUUACUAAUGACCACCGACCGUUUGAAGCCCGGCUGGACGCUACGGUCUCAACACAAACAUAAAACAGGAGCUGCACAACCCGAGUGCCACAAUCACCCAAAAAAAAUCAAAGGAGGUAUGGCAUCAGAAACCUGAGUGAGUGCUUCAGUCCCGUGAGGAAAACUGAUGACCUCAUCAUUAAUGGACGCCUGAAAGUCCCAAAAGAGCCCCCCUCCACCACCACCCCCCCCCCCCCUGACUCACACCGCCAACCUCACACUAGCGGUGCGACAAAAGUGAGCUUUCCAGCUGAACAGUUCUGAUCCAGAUUCCAGCUCAGACGAUUUGGAUUUGGAUUUGUCUGCAGGUGGACGCAUCACAAUCAAGAGGAGCAGCGUCUUUCUAUGUCAACUACAACCUUAUUCAAACAGGAUUUUUUUGUCUGGUCCCAACUCACAACAAUUUGUAUGUAUGUUUGUUUGUAAGAAAUAUUCAGGCUUCAUUUUCUUUAUGAAUGUGCAUCAUCAGAAAAAUGCCAAAUACACCAUUUUCAUCAGAGUGGGUCUUUAAGACAUCCAUCUAUAACCCAGUUGAUCUCAGGCUGCUUCAUAGAAACUUAAAAAAAAAAACGUCAAAUCAUUAAAAAUAAAUUAUUGACACGUUUUAGAAUCCAGAUAAUGCAAAAGAUUUUCAAUUUUGGAACAAUAAGGCUUCAAAUUAUACCACAAAAUAUUUGUUUGUUUGUUUUUUACAUGUUUUUAUGUCCAGAAACCCCGAGGUCCUGAAAAACAAAAGUUUUAUCAAAUUACAAAAAUCAACCAUUCUGAAUAAAUGAGCAGCUCCUCCUUCUUCCUGUCAGAGUCAGUUUCCUCCUGAAAUCCCUCUACAGUCAGAAAACCAACCUGCAGCUUCCUCCUCAUCCUGUCAGAUCGUCAUGACGAUGAUGAUGACUGUAGGUCAUUUUUCUCUCUUCCUCACAGGAGUUGCCAUGGCGAUUCAGAUCCAUCAGUCUCCUCCUGCUUUCCUGAAAGAGGAGGGUGAAGCUGUCCAGCUGGUCUGCAGCCACCAGCAGUCUGACUUCAGAGUGAUGCUGUGGUACCAGCAGGCGCCCGGAGGCGCCGCCAUGAAGCUGGUCGGCUACGGAUACGUGCAGUUUGGCGCCGACGCCGUGGAAGAGGCUUUCAGAGGAGACUUCAGCUUAGCAGGAGAACUCGGCGGAGACAAAGACAAAAAUGCUUCGCUCUUCAUCAAGAACCUCAGGGCGCCUGAACACACGGCCACAUAUUUCUGUGCAGCUAGUAAACCACAGUUCAUCAAACAUCCAGCUGCUCCUCACAAAAACCUCCAACCGUCUCUGCUCAGCCGAGAAGCAGGAGAUGCGACAAACGAAAACCCACUUUAGUGACAAAGAUUCGACAU